rnacentral:rRNA from 1 species
AUUGAACGCUGGCGGCAUGCUUUACACAUGCAAGUCGAACGGUAACAGGCCGCAAGGUGCUGACGAGUGGCGAACGGGUGAGUAAUGCAUCGGAACGUGCCCAGUCGUGGGGGAUAACUACUCGAAAGAGUAGCUAAUACCGCAUACGAUCUAUGGAUGAAAGCGGGGGACCGUAAGGCCUCGCGCGAUUGGAGCGGCCGAUGUCAGAUUAGGUAGUUGGUGGGGUAAAGGCUCACCAAGCCAACGAUCUGUAGCUGGUCUGAGAGGACGACCAGCCACACUGGGACUGAGACACGGCCCAGACUCCUACGGGAGGCAGCAGUGGGGAAUUUUGGACAAUGGGCGCAAGCCUGAUCCAGCAAUGCCGCGUGCAGGAAGAAGGCCUUCGGGUUGUAAAUUGCUUUUGUACGGAACGAAACGGCUCUGGUUAAUACCCGGGGCUAAUGACGGUACCGUAAGAAUAAGCACCGGCUAACUACGUG